AGCUGUUUUGGGAUUACAACUCCCAUCAUCCCUAGCUAACAGGACCAGUGGUCAGGGGUGAUGGGAAUUGUAGUCCCAAAACAGCU